rnacentral:rRNA from 1 species
CCGCGUGAGUGANGAAGGCCUUCGGGUUGUAAAGCUCUUUCGCNAGGGAAGAAAACUUAUGAUCGAAUAAAUCAUGAGGUUGACGGUACCUUGAUAAGAAGCACCGGCUAACUACGUGCCAGCAGCCGCGGUAAUACGUAGGGUGCGAGCGUUAAUCGGAAUUACUGGGCGUAAAGCGUGCGCAGGCGGUUUUGUAAGUCGGAUGUGAAAUCCCCGGGCUCAACCUGGGAACUGCGUUCGAAACUGCAAGGCUAGAGUGUGUCAGAGGGGGGUAGAAUUCCACGUGUAGCAGUGAAAUGCGUAGAGAUGUGGAGGAAUACCAAUGGCGAANGCAGCCCCCUGGGAUAACACUGACGCUCAUGCACGAAAGCGUGGGGAGCAAACAGGAUUAGAUACCCUGGUAGUCCACGCCCUAAACGAUGUCAACUAGUUGUUGGUAGAGUAAAAUCUAUGAGUAACGUAGCUAACGCGUGAAGUUGACCGCCUGGGGA